GACGAGGCGGGGCGGGGGCCGGGGUCAAGGUCGGCGGGGGCAGGUGGCGCGGGCCCGCACACUCAGCAUCCGGCCCCGUGUUUUGCCGCUGCCGUCACGCGCGCAUCCUCAAGCGUGGCCGGAGCCUGCCUCGUGUUAGCAGCCGAAAUCCACGCGUUUUGCAGUGUCUGUGAGACCUCCCACCAGUGUCCACCGCAUGCAGGGAACCCAGGCCCACAGGUAUAAAGAGGGUCCUACAUGAGAGCUGAACAGAGAUUGCAGAGGUCCUGCAGGACUGGGAGAUGUUGAAGCAAAGAGAAGAGAUCUUGGUGCA